AGAGUUUGAUUCUGGCUCAGGAUGAACGCUAGCUACAGGCUUAACACAUGCAAGUCGAGGGGUAGCAGGGUAGCAAUACCGCUGACGACCGGCGCACGGGUGAGUAACACGUAUCCAACCUUCCCAUAACUCAGGGAUAGCCUUUCGAAAGAAAGAUUAAUACCUGAUAGUACUUUUUCAAGGCAUCUUGAGAAAGUUAAAGAUUUAUUGGUUAUGGAUGGGGAUGCGUUCCAUUAGAUAGUUGGUGAGGUAACGGCUCACCAAGUCUUCGAUGGAUAGGGGUUCUGAGAGGAAGGUCCCCCACAUUGGUACUGAGACACGGACCAAACUCCUACGGGAGGCAGCAGUGAGGAAUAUUGGUCAAUGGGCGAGAGCCUGAACCAGCCAAGUAGCGUGAAGGAUGAAGGUCCUAUGGAUUGUAAACUUCUUUUAUAGUAGAAUAAAGUGAUCCACGUGUGGAUUUUUGUAUGUAUACUAUGAAUAAGGAUCGGCUAACUCCGUGCCAGCCGCUGC
rnacentral:rRNA from 1 species